rnacentral:rRNA from 1 species
AGAGUUUGAUCCUGGCUCAGGAUGAACGCUAGCGGCAGGCUUAAUACAUGCAAGUCGAGGGGCAGCGGGGACUUCGGUCCGCCGGCGACCGGCAAACGGGUGCGGAACACGUACACAACCUUCCUUCGAGCGGGGGAUAGCCCAGAGAAAUUUGGAUUAAUACCCCAUGGUAAAAUGAAGAGGCAUCUUUUUAUUUUUAAAGAUUUAUCACUUGAAGACGGGUGUGCGUAUGAUUAGGUAGUUGGUGGGGUAAAGGCUCACCAAGCCAACGAUCAUUAACUGGUGUGAGAGCACGACCAGUCACACGGGCACUGAGACACGGGCCCGACUCCUACGGGAGGCAGCAGUAAGGAAUAUUGGUCAAUGGAGGGAACUCUGAACCAGCCAUGCCGCGUGGAGGAUGAAGGUCCUCUGGAUUGUAAACUUCUUUUAUAUGGGGCGAAAAAGGGUCUUUUUAGAUCAACUGACGGUACCAUAUGAAUAAGCACCGGCUAACUCCGUGCCAGCAGCCGCGGUAAUACGGAGGGUGCAAGCGUUAUCCGGAUUCACUGGGUUUAAAGGGAGCGUAGGUGGGUUGGUAAGUCAGAGGUGAAAUCUCCGAGCUUAACUCGGAAACUGCCUUUGAUACUAUCAGUCUUGAAUAUUGUUGAGGUUAGCGGAAUAUGUCAUGUAGCGGUGAAAUGCAUAGAUAUGACAUAGAACACCAAUUGCGAAGGCAGCUGGCUA